rnacentral:lncRNA from 1 species
AAAGAGACAAAACUAUUUUAUUAUGAACUUCCAAAAAAGAAAUUUUUUAAGGAUUAAAGCUGAGAGUCAAAAGGCCAUGGUCAUAUAACCCAAGGGAAUUGAUUCCUACAGCCCCAGUCUCUGUUCAGACCCAAAAGCACAAAGUGAAGGCCGGGUUCCAGAGAAGAACUGAGAUCCUCAGGACAAACCAAGAUAAGCCUGCCUGCGUCCAGAAUCAUCCUGAAAGUAGUUUCAUGCCCAUUGCUUAUUAAUAUCUCACUUUAGCUUCCAAACUUUGGGUCAAAGCCGAUAUUGACUGCAGAAUCAUCUACUAAUGAUAGAAAAUGUGCCAGAGGCUGACCUCUCUGCCACUGUGCCAUUCCCUGGAUUGGGGGAUGCCUGAAGUUCAUAGGUCACUACAAGUCCUUGAAGCUCAUCUAUCACACAGGCUUCCUGGCUCACGGGGACAAGGUGAUAAGACCACUGUAGUGGCCUCAACCUUCACUCUUCACUGCUAAUAUUCCUUAUGGCAGAGCAGUAGCCCCAGGUUGGCAGCAGGCAUUGGGAGGCAUCGGGGCAUCCACUUCUGGGCACGGAAACAAGUCACACACUUUCUAAUAGCAUCAAGAACAGCUUGAGUGUAUUUCGAAGAGCAGAAUUUUCUAGACUGUUAGAAACAGAUUGGGAAGACGUCUUCGGGCCAUACUGCAGACAGUGGCCUUGCCUGCUGGGACAUUGCUGAUAGUGCAGUGACCUUUCCUGCCUUCUUUCUCACUCCAA